UUCGUUGCGAAUGCAUGCGUAGCACCUGUUUCUUAUUUCGACCGUAGUUGUUCGCAUUCGGAUUUCUCCUUUGAUCACAUCAAACGCCGCCAAUAUCCGCUGGGACAAAUCUUCUGGUGAUUCUACUUCCGUUGCGUAGACGAGUUCCUUUGCCCGUCCCCAGAUGUGAAAGUCCAAGGGAGUUAGGUCCGGGGACCGUGGGGGCCAUGGAAUGGGGCCGUCUCUUCCAAUCCAUGAAUUAGGGAAAGCGUUGUCUAGGUGCUCCCUGACUGUUAUCCUCCAGUGUGCGGCAUCCAUCUUGUUGAAAAACGAUACGCCUAUCUUCAUUGAAAUGAGGUACAUCAGCUAGUAAUUCAGGUAGAUCAUGUUGUAAAAAAUGAAGGUAGUUGUCUCCAUUCAAAUUAUCGGGUAGGAAGUGUGGCCCAACCACUUGAUCGCCAAUAACUCCCGCCCAUACAUUGAAGCCGUAUCUUCUCUGGAAACCUCUAGCUCUUUUCACGUGUGGAUUUUCAUUUAUCGGCGACCAGUGGUGCAGGUUGUGUAAAUUCAGUAUCCCCUCUCGUGUAAAUUUGGACUCGUCUGUCCAAAGAAUGCUUCUUAAAAAGUCACGGUCCUCUAAAUCCGUGUGCAGCAAUAAACGACAAAACCGGACACGAUUUCCAAAGUCGUUAUCUUCAAGACCUGCAAAGAAAGAAAGACAAAUAAGAAUCUGACAAGGUUUGUGAAAUGGAAUGUGGGGUAAUUAGGUACAUACACGAUAACGUAAAGGACACAGUGACGUUACGUUUCGAAGUCAAUAACAGCAAAAGAAACGCGAAAAGCUGAGGUUCAGUUCUCUAGUCAAUUGGUAUGGAUUAAAAGUAAUUCUAGCGUUUAAUACCUUGGACUGGAGUGUAGUGAAAUGCGUGCAUGUUGUUUUGGCGAAGAACUUUCCACACCUUCCAGAUUGAAAUUUCCAGUUGUCCAGCUACAUCUCUGAUGCUCUUAUUCGGGUCUUCUUCCAUUAUGGCUAAGAUCCUUUCAUCAACUGCAACAUUGUGUCGAACCACAAUUCCUCGGUUCAUUUACGUUCAAAUUACCAGUUUCCCUUAAGCGUCGGUAAGUGUUUUGAAACGUAUUGCGGUUUGGUAAGCGUCUAUUGGGGAAUCGUUCCUGGUAGAUUCUUUGCGCUGCUCGUGCUACACCAUCAGCUUUACCGUACGCCAUCAACAUGUCCGCAUACUCUUCAUUCGUAAAGGCAGCCAUUUUUGAAAGAUCAAAACUCAACAAAACAGAGAUUAACAAAAACAACAGAAAACUAACAAAAAAACAACAGUACUAAGAUCGCAAAUGCUUCAACCACAAGAGAAUGUCGUGAUUUGACUGUCUCUUGUGGUCCACAAGAGACAGUCAAAUCACGACUAAUGUCUAAUUGAUACCACCACCACCCCCCAGGUUCAUCUUUGCUGGGUUCUUGGGUUAAACGUCGAGUAAAAGAGAGAGACAACUGCACUUAAUUGUGCUCUGUAAGAGAGAUAGCAGUCUUUACCUGCUUCGCACGUGUUGUUUUCAUGAUUUUUUCCUUAUCUUAUCAUGCCUAAUCGCUUACGCUCAAAUUUGUGAAAGUUGACCUUGAAGUCCAAAUUUACGAAAGAUAAGUUUCAAAUCUUUACAACCUGUAGAUCAACCUGUGUGUUGAAAGAAAAUGGGGACUUCAAAGCUGUCAGCAAAAGGGAACAGUGUCAAUGUUUGAAUCUCGAUAACUUUACCGUUGCGUUCGUUACUAAAUCGUGAAAAAAAUGAAGUUUAUGAAAGGUUUUUUUAAGAUAAUUGUACAUCGUUAAAACAGUGUCAAGACCGAUGUCUGUUUAAUUUUUUUUUUCAUUGCAAAUCAAAGUUGACUUUAGACUAAAUUUUUACACGUUGUAAACAUUUGAGGGCCAAUAAAUAAAAAAUUAGACGUUACGUGUCAGUAAAUUUGAUAUUAUUCGAGCCGUGCAACGUUAGAGAUUACGAUGCAGUAAAAAUUGCAUCUCUUUAUCACUUACUUAUUUUUUUAAUCAAGUUUAAGCAUAUCGGCCCUGAAGAUUUUUCAUAAAUUACAAGAAAAACGAAAAAAAAUUAUACGUGGACCCAAGAAUUUUUUAGAGGGCGUAAGGUGAUAGAAAAUAACCCCAGCAAUCCGCCAAUUUUUUUUGGCUAACGAUGCACCAAACACCCUGUAUAAAAAGUUUAUAUUUCUAUGAAAGGCGAUUUUCAGCCCGCCUAUUUUUAUAGUGCACGACUGCCCGUGGUUAUUUAGUUCGUACUUACGUCAAAACAAAAUGGAAAAAAUAAUAAAGACAAUUGUCGCAAAUUAAUAUCUUUAUACGCAGCUAACAGAUGUUUGUGAGAUCCCAACUAUACAAACAGGGGAAUUAGGGAGGAUUCAUGACAAUAUUAGUCAGGAAAUGAGUUUGUCGGCUAAGAGUUUAAAGAAGAAAAUGGAUUCAUUACUAGGAUCGCACAGACCGCAUUGUAAAGAAGUUUAAAGGGUGAUUUAUUUACAUAAAGGAAUCUACAGAUGCGACAAAAGAGACUGAUUGUGUGAAUGUUUCUAAAGUGAACUUACACGGAAACGAAUGUUCAAACGUCACAUUUUAAAAAUGUGCAUGGUUGAUUGAAAGAUCUGUAACAAGGAAACAUUUCAAUGUAGAAACUCAGAAUCUAAUUGAGAUAAAAUAUUUUUUUUUUUCGAAGCCAUUUUUUACUGCCGCUACAGUUGAAAAACAGGAAGGAAACAAGUUCCGAAUCUUGCACUCACAUCAUGCUUCCGAUUUAGAAUGUAAAACAUUAAAUGUUUAUCUUCGUAUGCAAAACAUCGUCUAUAUUAGACUGCAUGCACGCAGGUCUGAGCAAAGUUGCUUAAAGACAGAUUUGUUAAACCGAAAUUGUUGAAUAAACGGCGUCUUCUACUCCGCGAAACUUCUGCGUUGUGAGCCGCCCACAAUAAUUUUAAGUAUGCAUUUUACAACUGCUAUACGGCCUCUUUCUGUGCUUCGAUAAGUUAUCUGUAACGGGAUAGCUCACGCUACGUAUCGAUACCUACGAGACGACAAAGAUUUGUUAUCGCUUGUCAAAAGCGUCACUUACAAUCUUUAUGUCUCUGAAAAAAGCAUUUAUUUUAUUUUAUUAUACAAACUUCAACUAGUAUAUCUCUACAUUAUGCUACAAUCUAACUAAAGCCUGACCUGACACUGCCCGUGAUAAUUGCGAGAGAUUUUAACAGUAUAUUCCAGCAUUGUAGUAGGUAACUUUAAGAAGCAACUUAACACGGAAAUCAAUCUCAUGAAUAAUAAAAAGGCUAGCUGGCUUUCUUGUUCCCUAUUAGUACCAGUAAGGAACGGCCAGUAGUAAAGGCUACAUGCAAUAAAAAUGUUACAGAAACUUAAUGUACAAAAUUCACAAAGAAAGCCGUUGAAUGAGAGUUUUGCUUAAAAAUGUUGAUCUAGUUGAAUUAAUCAAAAGAGGUUGGACAUUUCCAUUGAGAGAGCGCGCUGCGUAGAAAAAUAGGCUUAGGCCUAUGGUGCACCGCGUCAGCAAUAGGCACCGUCUACGUUCUGGCUGAUGUCGGAGCCGUAGGUAGUUAUCCUAUACGAACUAUAAGCCGGGUUAUGUGGUAGACGCCUUAGUCCGCGUCCACAAACGCAAUAGUAAAAAAUAUUUCCCCAAAAGGAAAAACUGCGGACGAAGUGAAAAGCCUCACUAAAGUAUACAUUUCAAAGCAAUGAAAACAAUUAAAAUAAUAAAGCAGACUGACCCGCGACAAAGAGCGGUUUUGAGGCGCCAAUGAAACAUAUUUAAAUAUAAAAUAAAGAACUAUAUUUUGUAACGUAUAUAUUGGGGGAGUUGAUUUAUGAGAAGGUGAAUUUUAAUUUGCAAGAAAUGUUACACUAAAUACUUAAAAAUACUUACUAAACUGAAGCCGGUUAAAUCUCUGGAGAGCAGAGGACCCUUGGUUCAAAGGCCGUCCACUACCGGAUGUAGGUGAAAGGACCCGCUUUUAACAGAAGUAAAACGGGACGUUCAAUCAAUCAAAUCAAUUAUAUUGUAUGUACGCGAACAUGGCAGCCGUCGGUGCUGCAGUAUUUGGGUUAAAAACUAAAACGAACGCAUUUAAAGGGGGCCCCUAAAGUUAACUAAAGAUGCGCGGGCAUUACGCGCAACACGCUCUCGUGGCCACGAGGUAAGAAAGAGUACGACUCACGGUUACGGGGACGAACAACACGCCGUGUUGACGACGAUCCGGGCAAAAAAGAUGACAGCCAACCAAGCAGAGAAGACGUUAGUGCUGCUGUGUGGCGCGCGCAGUGCGAUGCUACGCUCUAUGCACAAGGGCAAGCCGGUGAGGGGGCAUCAGCCGCCAUUGCUCCUCACCCACGCUAGCAAGGACGGCGCAGUCGAAAAAUACUGCGGUGCGGAGGGGACGGCGCUGUGCCGCUGCCUGAACCCGCGCCGCGCGCCGGAGAAACACGCAGAUGCGAUUGCGCUUACCCCGGUCUGUAUGUCUAUCGUCCAGACAAAUGCCUUGAUCACACGUACCGAGUAAACGGGCGAGACAGUAAAAUGUUCCUCGGCCGAGACAGUGAUGUAAGCGAGUAACUGUUCAGACAUGUUUUCAAAUUAGGACAGUCAGUUCAGUUCUAUUGAGAGAUUCGGGCACGAUGGACCGUAAAAAGUUAAUUAGAAAAUAUACAAAGUUACUCAUUCCACUAUUAAUGGAAGAAUUAAAGGAAUUGUUGGAAAACGAGCAGCGCCGGAUUUGGACUAGACCAUGGAUGUUGAGAAGAUCUGAUUUUGGCGCUACGAACACUGUUUUUAAAGAAUUAAGGGUAGAAGAUCCUACUGAAUUUAGAAUGCUUCUGAGAAUGGAUGUAGAACAUUUUGACACAUUGUUAGAAAAUAUUACUCCAUUGAUACAAAAGCAAGAUACUGUCAUGAGAGAAGCUAUACAUGCAAAGACGAAACUACAAGUAGCGUUAUGCUAUUUGGUGACUGGGAUGAGCUACCGUUAUUUGCAGGCUUUUUACAGAGUGUCUCGGGCUGCAAUAUCAUCGUUCAUACCGGAAGUCAUGGAUGCAAUAUUUACUUAUUUGGAGAAUUAUUUAAAGGAAAUUGAUGAUGAUAUGUAUUUUGAGAACUAGCAUAAGUGGUGUCUGAAUGUACAGAAGACGGCCUUUGGUCGCUGCGAUUAGACGAAGAAGAAUGGUAUGCAGUACUUUGUCUAAGUUCUUUAAUCCCAUAAUCGGUCAGUAUAUUCUGUAUUCUGUUUUGUGCUAGUAAAGCAUUCUCUGUCGAUAAAUUCUUAAGUUGCAAUGCAACACUCCUUCCAAAAACAUCAAAUACAGUUUCUUUCUCAGAAUUUACAUCUUCAUUUAACUUUUUUAAAUCAGAAACGGCUUGAAAAAUAUCUCUAGCCCUCUUUUUACCUCUCGCAGUAUUUAUGGUAUUGGUAAUAGUCGCCGAGGCAGUAGUCGUAGUUACAGUUACUGGUACUUGCUGGUGAUCAGAUGUAAUAGCUGGUACUUCCUGGUUGUUGUUUGAGUGUGAGGAGGUAGCAGGGCUAUUGUCCUGAGGACCAGUGUCUUCAUUAGCGGAAUGACUAAUCUGUAAAAUAAAAUGAAUAUAAAUUAUUGUUUCAGGUACCGCAGACCAAUGAAGAAUGGAAAGAAAUAGAAACAGGUUUCAGAACUAGGUGGAAUUUCCCUGGUUGCCAUGGCGCUAUAGACGGGAAGCAUGUGAUAAUUCUAGCACCACCGAAUUGUGGAAGUGAAUAUUUUAAUUACAAGGGUACCAACAGUGUGGUUUUGAUGGCUGUGGUUGAUCAUGACUAUUGUUUUCGCUAUGUAAAUAUUGGAGCAAACGGAAGAAACUCGGAUGGGGGGAUUUUUAAAAACAGCCAAUUACGUAGUGAUCUUGAGAAUAAUUUGCUACCGAAAGGAGGAUUUUUGGUUGGAGAUGAUGCGUUUCCACUAAAAACAUAUUUAUUAAAACCAUAUAGUGGCACAAAUCUUUCAACAAAACAAAAAAUAUUUAACUACAGACUCUCUAGAGCACGAAGAAUUGUCGAAAAUGCGUUUGGCAUUCUGGCAAGCAGGUUUCGAAUUUUUUAAAAGCCCAUACCAACUAGUGACGUAACCACCGAUAAAAUUAUUCUCGCCUCUUGUGCUCUGCAUAAUUGGUUACGUCUCACAAGUCCCGGUAUUUACUUUCCAAAGGGUUGUGUUGAUCAAGAAGAUAUAGAUUCGGGAUCCGUUAUUGUGGGGACUUGGAGACAAGAACUACAAGCUAAUUUGCCAAGUAUCACUAAUCAUAACACCAACAAUGCAGCACGUAUAGCAAGGGAGCUUCGAGAUAAAUACGCAGAGUUCUUCAGUGGGGCAGGUGCCGUUUCGUGGCAAAACAGAAUGAUUUCAUAAUUUUAAGCAAUUUAAUUUCAGAAAUACCUACAUUAUACUUAGCAUAAAAAGUAACAUAAUAAAAAGCACUUACGUUUUCAUAAACUUUUUUCUUUAAAUCCUUUGAAAAGACCUCUUCCAUCUCUUUCAGCCACUUAAUAUUAGAAGUGUACACAUUACUGAGCCCCGCUCCAGAUUUCUUCGAGUCUUGAAUUUUUUUAAUUUCUUGUUGGUAGGUCGAUCUUAAAUUUUUUAUUUUAUUUUUAACUUCUAUCGCACCAAAUCCAGAGAUAUUCAUUUCCUCAACUAUGGACUUAUAUGCUGCAUCCCGUUUUUGUUUUAUCUUGUAUUCCGGAGAUUGAAAGUUCCACAGGCACUGAUGUAGUUUAUAUAAUUGUAUAAAUUUAAUAGUUGUUUCGACAUCCCAUUUGUUAUUAGAAGACAUGGUGUCAUUGUAUUUUAUUAGAUUUUUAGUAGAUUUAAACAACAAUUAUCUAAAUAUAUGGCGCGCGCGGCGAUGUCGCAAUGUGACGACCGAGUGGCGAGACAGUGCGCGUUCAGACCUGCCGAGCGAGCGAGUGAGACAGUGCGGGGAAGCGGGAGGGUGGGCACUCGGCCUAGCAGAUAGAACGUCCACCGAGCUACUGACUCGCCGCUUCGUUCGCCCGAGUGCUCGGCCGAGUACUCGGCGCUAUGUUUAUACGCACCGAGUACUCGGCCGAGAGCACUGUCUCGCCCGUUUACUCGGUACGUGUGAUCAAGGCAAAAAAUCUCUCGCCAUCCGCUGAAAUCCGACCUCUUGACGUUCCGUUAAAUACGCCAACUUUGCCCACUUUUUUGGGAAAAACUAAAAAAAUUCUAGUUUUUUGUAUGAAACCUCGGAAAUAUUUAUGUAUCUGUGGUAACACCGAGAUCAUGCGCAUUUAAAUUUAACUGCAAAUUUAACUUUAGUCAACGUUUUCUCCAUCAUAUGACCGAUUUUGAGGUCGGGUAAAGUUAUCUGGACUUUUAGCCAACAUUGCCCACCGUGAUGUUUAGCGCAACUAUAGACCUUAUUUGGUUGCCAUAAAAACCAAUGAGAGUAUUUUGGCAAUGAAGGCGAUCGGUUCAAAAAUUUACUCGACAUAAUAAUACAUGCUCGAAAUACUUUCCUAUUAAAAUGAGUGGGCAAUGUUAGCCUGUACAUUUUUUCUUCUUCAUACAAACGGCGUGUAGCGAUUUAAAAGUGCUAGGGUUGUCAAAAUUGAGAAGAUAAUAAAAACUGAACAUUAAUUUGCACAAA